rnacentral:rRNA from 1 species
AUUGAACGCUGGCGGCAGGCCUAACACAUGCAAGUCGAGCGAGCGGCGGACGGGUGAGUAAUGUAUGGGGACUGCCCGAUAGAGGGGGAUAACUACUGGAAACGGUGGCUAAUACCGCAUACCAUCGGAUAACACAAAUGGGAUUAGCUAGUUGGUGGGGUAAAGGCUUACAUCUGCGACGAGCUCUAGCGGGUCUGAGAGGAUGAUCGUCCACAAUGGGACUGAGACACGGCCCAGACUCCUACGGAGGCAGCAGUGGGGAAGAUUGCACAAUGGGCGCAAGCCUGAUGCAGCGCUGCCGCGUGUAUGAAGAAGGCCUUAGGGUUGUAAAGUACUUUCAGCGGGGAGGCGUUACCCGCAGAAGAAGCACCGGCUAACUCCGUGCCAGCAGCCGCGGUAAUAC